GUCGAAAACUUCUCCAUACAGAGGCUUCACGGAUGAUCCUGAUUCCGUCGCCCGCACACAGCGGCGCACGAAGGAGCAAAAAUGCAUAAGGCAUUCAGUGGAGCUGCACUUAAGGCAAUAGUAAUGGGAUGCUGAGAGAAGAAAUUCUGUUUGCUCUGCAAACAGUCUACCCGUCUACAGUAAUAAGUAUGCUGAUAUGACUUAAUAAAUACAAAAUCAC